ACAAGAGGAAACUCCUCUCCCUGAAGUGAACUGAAAAGGCUUAAGUUGGAAACUGACUGAAGUAAUGGCAGUAAUAAA